UUGCUGACGAGUGGCGCACGGGUGCGUAACGCGUAUACAAUCUACCUUUUGCUGAGGGAUAGCCCAGAGAAAUUUGGAUUAAUACCUCAUGGUAUUAUUGAUAGGCAUCUAUUAAUAAUUAAAGGUUACGGCAAAAGAUGAGUAUGCGUCCCAUUAGCUAGUUGGUGAAGUAACGGUUCACCAAGGCAACGAUGGGUAGGGGUCCUGAGAGGGAGAUCCCCCACACUGGUACUGAGACACGGACCAGACUCCUACGGGAGGCAGCAGUGAGGAAUAUUGGACAAUGGGCGAGAGCCUGAUCCAGCCAUGCCGCGUGCAGGAAGACUGCCCUAUGGGUUGUAAACUGCUUUUAUACAGGAAGAAUAAGCCUUACGUGUAAGGUGAUGACGGUACUGUAAGAAUAAGGACCGGCUAACUCCGUGCCAGCAGCCGCGGUAAUACGGAGGGUCCGAGCGUUAUCCGGAAUUAUUGGGUUUAAAGGGUCCGUAGGCGGAUGAUUAAGUCAGGGGUGAAAGUUUGCAGCUCAACUGUAAAAUUGCCUUUGAUACUGGUCAUCUUGAGUUGUAUUGAAGUAGGCGGAAUAUGUAGUGUAGCGGUGAAAUGCAUAGAUAUUACAUAGAACACCAAUUGCGAAGGCAGCUUACUAAGUACUAACUGACGCUGAUGGACGAAAGCGUGGGUAGCGAACAGGAUUAGAUACCCUGGUAGUCCACGCCGUAAACGAUGGAUACUAGCUGUUCGGGAC
rnacentral:rRNA from 1 species